ACUUUCUCAGAGGGCAGAUUAGGACAGACGUCCCCCGAAACCGGAUGGCCGCUCUCAGGUUUCUCUCUGUCGGUGUAUAAGACUCCUAGGGAUAAGUUGCAGUGUGUAUUUUGUUGCGCGACUACCAUCAUGAAUCUCUUUUCCAUGGCGUCGGAAAGAGGCAUACCUGCUGCCGACGAUCUGACUCCCGUGUCUACAGACUAAUCUGCCGUCGUUGUAUCGACUGUUCAAUAUGUAGACAGCUUUUACGGGAAUCGAUUGGAGGGAGAAGAACAAUAUUGGUGGACGCAGUUCUGCGCCGCGAUCGAGUUAAAACAAUGGAUUAACAGUUUCUCAAGAGUAUCACGAUAAAUAAGAUUAGAUUCGAUGCUGGUGAUAAUGUAGAAAAAUGUAUCAUAAUCAUAAUUUGACGAUUUCAUAAAGAAGAAGACCAAUAUCUUGUGUAAAGCUAGCUGAACAGUUUUAUGCUUCCAGUAUCAAUUAAAAUUCUUAAAUAGCCUCUUAAAUAGUCUAACUGUUAGUUCUUUCGCACGUUAUUAUGUAACAUUAGCAAAGACUGAAUUAGAUUAUACGUAAAGUGUGGCUUUAUCUUUAUUUGUAACUCUAUUGUACAAUAUGUCACAGGACAUCGAAAAAAAAAGAAACGUUUAGAUAUUCUAUAAUUUAUGUACAAUACAGAACUUAUAAAGAAUUGAUAACCAUUUA